UACGUAGGGCGCAAGCGUUGUCCGGAAUUAUUGGGCGUAAAGCGCACGUAGGCGGCUUAGCAAGUCCCAUGUGAAAGCCCACGGCUCAACCGUGGAAGUGCAUGGGAAACUGCUGAGCUUGAGUACUUAAGAGGAUCGCGGAAUUCCCGGUGUAGAGGUGAAAUUCGUAGAUAUCGGGAGGAACACCAGUGGCGAAGGCGGCGAUCUGGGAAGAUACUGACGCUGAGGUGCGAAAGCGUGGGGAGCAAACAGG
rnacentral:rRNA from 1 species